rnacentral:lncRNA from 9 species
UUUUUUUUUUUUUUUUUUUUUUGUCUUUUGUCUUUUUGUCUGUUGCUGUUGUUGUUGCUAUUUCUUGGGCCCCUCCCGCGGCAUAUGGAGGUUCCCAGGCUAGGGGUUGAAUCGGAGCUGUAGCCACCGGCCUACGCCAGAGCCACAGCAAUGCGGGAUCCGAGCCGCGUCUGCGACCUACACCACAGCUCACAGCAACGCCGGAUCGUUAACCCACUGAGCAAGGGCAGGGAUCGAACCCGCAACCUCAUGGUUCCUAGUCAGAUUCGUUAACCACUGCGCCACGAUGGGAACUCCCAAGUUCUUUUCUUUAUAUAUCAAGUCACCUUUAUAUUCUCAUCACACCGAUAGUCACUCCUGUGGUUCCAAUAAUAAGCAUCAGCUGGCUGCUGGUGAAACUACCACACACACACACACACACACACACACACACACACACACACACACACGAAAGGAUCUGAGAGUGGGGACUGCCUUCCUCAUGGGCUCCUGGUGAGAUGCAUUAGGACCACAGGAACCACUGGCAUCCUGCAAGACCAGAGUGUGCCAGUUCUGUCCCUGUUCUAAGGGAUUGACAGGAGCAACUGCAUUUAAUCCUCCUUGUACUUCUGCAUUUCCUCUUUAUGGAUGAGGUGUUAGAAGCUCAGAGAGAUGAAGUAACUUGCUUGAAGUCACACAGCUAGCAGGUAGAGGAGCUGGGGCUCAGACUCAGGAUAUGCGAUGCUGUGCUGGUCCCAUGCUCUUAAGUAUCCUUCUCUAUUUCCUCCACAUUUAAAAGGGAUCUGGAGAACCCACUGUCAGAGAUUUGGGUGACUAACAGAUCUCUCUGGAGAAGAGAAGCUGAUUUCUUCCAAUAAGGUAGACCUAAUAAAUAUAUAACAAAGAGACCAUGCAGGCAUUGAGAGAGAGUGCGUGUGCGUGCGUGCGUGCGUAGACUUUGGGUCAGCAGGCUAAAAGAAAGUGGUAAGAGGGACAAACUUCGAUGUAAAGCUGAUCAGAGUUUGAAAUCCAGAGUUUGAAACCCCUUGGAAAAACCACUUAACUUCUCUGCUCCUUAGUUUAAUGAUCUAUAAAAUGGAGAUGAUUUUUUCCCCACUGGAAGUUGAGAGAAUUAAAUGAGCUUGGCUUAACGGCUCUGGAAAAAGUCCAGGUAAGCACAUUGCAAAGGAACUGGCCCAAGCCCCACCCUCCAGACCAAGGUCCAGGACUCUACAUUGCUAAGGUCCAUACACUUCAAUGGCUCAAGAAGCAACACUGUCCAUGUCCAGUCUUAUUGUCUUUUUUUUUUUCCUCUGUUUUUGUUUUUUAGCUUCACUUGUGGCAUAUGGAAGUUCCUGGGCCAGGGAUCGAACCUAUACCACAGCAGCAAGCCAGGCCGCUGCAGUGGCAAUGCCAGAUCCUUAACCUGCUGCACCACAAGAUGACUCCAACAAGAAAGCAUAUAGACUUUGUUGUUUUCUUGUUUUGGGCUGCACCCACGGCAUAUGGAGGUUCCUGGGCUAGGAAUCAAACCUGAGCCACAGAAGUGACCCAAGCCACUAUAGUGACAACACUGGUUCCUUAGCCCACUGUGGUACAAGAGAACUCUCUAUCUUGUCUUAGGACAUGCCUAGAGGCUUAUAUAUGAGGGACCAGGGGAAGGGCCUCCAGGGUGGGAGCUAUAGAAGGAAGGAAUGGCUCAAGAAGUUAAAGAAAAGUGAAGGUCUCCCCUCUCCCCAGCUCCCACCUGGGAAAGCGUGAUGCAGAAGGCUUCUCCAAUGAGGAAGAGCAGAUGGAAGAGUCCAACCAAAGACACCUGAUGCCCAUUGGCAGAAUCUCAGAACAUCAGACAAGAAGGGGCCUUAGAGCAGCCCCUUGAUCCAUCUGGUCGACCAAAAUGGACAGAUAUUCCCUGGUGGCUCCAAGAUCCAGGCAGAACCUGGGAUCCCAACUUUCUAUCCACUGGUUUUUCCUCUAAAUUCCCCUGCCUCCCUUGAAUCGGGCAAAUACAACACCAGCCACUUCUGCCUUGGAGGAGUGGCCCAUUCAGGGAGAGGCAGGUAUGUAAACUUCCCAUUCCCACACCAGGUGGGAAGUAGGCAUUCUAGAGGGGCAGGAGCCUGGAAGAGGAUGCUGCCGGAUGCUCCUGGGAGGAAGCAGAGAAUGUGCACCUUCAGUCCAGGAGGGCUCCCUAGAGCAGGUGAGGUCUGAGCUGAGGCUUGGUAAAAGAGUAGGACAAAACCAAGCAAGAAGCAGGCUUUGGGGCAGUGGAGAAGGGAAGCAGGUGGAUGGAGGGAAGGCUGUAGGCACAGGAAGCAGCACCUGCACAGCCACAGAACUGAAAACAGUAUCAGCCUGCCACGAUGUUGUGAGUCAGCGAGUGACAGGAGGAUGACUGGGACAGUCCUGUGAAGAGAUAGAUUCGUAAAAGAUUUAGGACAAAAAUCUGGCAGAACUUGAUGACUGGUCAUGGAGGCGGAGGGUAGAAGUAAAAAGAUGAAGGAAGGAAUCUAAGAUGACUUGUAGCUCUCUGGCUUUCUGCGUUGGUGGUGGUGGUGUGUGGCACAGGAGGAAAGGGGGCAAGGGACGAUGAGUUCAAAUUUAGAAGUUUUUAGGAGUUCCCAUCGUGGCUCAUGGUUAACGAAUCCGACUAGCAACCAUGAGGUUGCAGGUUCGGUCCCUGGCCUUGCUCAGUGGGUUAACGAUCCAGCGUUGCCGUGAGCUGUGGUGUAGGUUGCAGACACGGCUCAGAUCCCGUGUUGCUGUGGCUCUGGCGUGGUCUGGGGGACAGUGUUCAACAGGUGCACAGGAUGUCCAUGAUAGCUCUUGCG